AGAGUUUGAUCAUGGCUCAGGACGAACGCUGGCGGCGUGCCUAACACAUGCAAGUCGAACGGAGAUAUUAAUGAAGCUUGCGAUUUAAUAUCUUAGUGGCGGACGGGUGAGUAACGCGUGGGUAAUCUGCCCAUAAGUGGGGGACAACAGUUGGAAACGACUGCUAAUACCGCAUAUCCUGAUUUAUUAGGAAAGAUGGCCUCUGAAUACGCUGUCGCUUAUGGAUGAGCCCGCGUCUGAUUAGCUAGUUGGUGGGGCAAUGGCCUACCAAGGCGACGAUCAGUAGCCGGCCUGAGAGGGUGAACGGCCACACUGGGACUGAGACACGGCCCAGACUCCUACGGGAGGCAGCAGUGGGGAAUAUUGCGCAAUGGGGGAAACCCUGACGCAGCGACGCCGCGUGAGCGAUGAAGGCCUUAGGGUUGUAAAGCUCUGUUUUAGGGGACGAAUGUCUAGAUCAGUAAUAUGGGUUUAGAAUGACGGUACCCUAAGAGGAAGCCCCGGCUAGCUACGUGCCAGCAGCCGCGGUAAGACGUAGGGGGCGAGCGUUGUCCGGAAUUACUGGGCGUAAAGAGCACGUAGGCGGAGACUUAAGUCAGGUGUGAAAGACCGGGGCUCAACCCCGGGGUGGCACUUGAAACUGGGUCCCUUGAGGGCAGGAGAGGGCAGUAGAAUUCCUGGUGUAGCGGUGAAAUGCGUAGAAAUCAGGAGGAAUACCAGUGGCGAAGGCGACUGCCUGGACUGACCCUGACGCUGAGGUGCGAAAGCGUGGGUAGCAAACAGGAUUAGAUACCCUGGUAGUCCACGCCGUAAACGAUGGAUACUAGG
rnacentral:rRNA from 1 species